UACGAAGGGGGCUAGCGUUGCUCGGAAUCACUGGGCGUAAAGCGCACGUAGGCGGCUUCUUAAGUCAGGGGUGAAAUCCUGGAGCUCAACUCCAGAACUGCCUUUGAUACUGAGGAGCUUGAGUCCGGGAGAGGUGAGUGGAACUGCGAGUGUAGAGGUGAAAUGCGUAGAUAUUGGGAGGAACACCAGUGGCGAAGGCGGACUCACUGGACCGGGUUCUGACGCUGAUGCGCGAAAGCGUGGGGAGCAACGGG
rnacentral:rRNA from 1 species